AUAGACCAUGUAUGAACCAUCACUGACAGCUAGCAAGACUUAAUACAUGGAUUACUCUAGGAUGUGGGUAUGGGCCUUGGAUAGGGUGGGGCAGGGAAGGAUGUGUCAUAGAAGGAAAGGUGAUAUCAUACCUUCAGCAGGGGAAGUGAUUCCCCUCUGAAGGAGGCUGCAGAGUAGUGGAGUACAGCCUGAUUCACAAAAGGCUACAAGAAAGUUCAGGCUGAAGAUAGAGACGCAGGAGGGGAGACAGAGAGGAGUCUAUUCAGAAUAGAGAAUGUCAGGAUGUCUAAGGAGCAGGGGAGGCUCAGAGGCAGCUGUGUCACCAAAGCAACACUCCAGGAUGAUCGAGGACUCCAGAAAGCUGCAGCCUGAGAGAUCUCUGCAGGACUCGUAGGCCAUGCCAUAGGAUGUGCAGGGAUAAAGAUGGAGCAGAGAUUGAGAGAAUGGCCGACCAAUGACUGCCCAAGGACUUCCUGAACUCUGCCUGAUGUUUGGCUGUG
rnacentral:sRNA from 1 species